ACAGUUCUGUCCCUCAACAAUUCAAUCACAUGCAGUCUUUGCAGAUUUCAAGCCCAUCACUCCCCCUUCCCUUCUGUACCACAUCUGAGCAAGCUGAUAAGAAAGCCUGAGUGUUUCCUCUUUCUACACCUGUGGGAAGUUUGAACCAUACAACACGGAUUUGCACAUGUGAGAACCUUCAUCCCAGCCCACUUCCUUACCACCAUAAAACCCCAAGCCAUUCACUCUUCCUUGAUCUUUUUCUCAAGCCAUUUUUGGAUCAGUUUGGAAGCCCGCCCUGCUCUGCCUAGAAAGCCUCCUUGUGAAGAAGCUUUAGGCUGAGUCUUUCUCGAUUGGCCUUGUCUCCUCUGCUGUUCUCCCCAUCCCGCCUCAAGCCACGUCAUUGGAAGGCAUAGCACAGCAGCUUCCAAAAUGCGGCCCAGCAGCAUCAGCACCUCCUGGGAACUUGUCAGAAAUGCAAUUUUUUGAGUUCCACCACAGAC